UACGUAGGGGGCAAGCGUUGUCCGGAAUUACUGGGCGUAAAGCGCGUGUAGGCGGGACGGCAAGUCGGACGUGAAAGGCUGGGGCUCAACCCCAGAUCGCCGUUCGAAACGGUCGUUCUUGAGGGUCGAAGAGGAGAGUGGAAUUCCUGGUGUAGCGGUGAAAUGCGUAGAGAUCAGGAGGAACACCCAUGGCGAAGGCAGCUCUCUGGUCGACCUCUGACGCUGAGACGCGAAAGCGUGGGGAGCGAACGGGAUUGAGAUACCCG
rnacentral:rRNA from 1 species